GAUGAAGAACGUAGCGAAAUGCGAUAAGUAAUGUGAAUUGCAGAAUUCAGUGAAUCAUCGAAUCUUUGAACGCACCUUGCGCCCUUUGGCUAUUCCAGAGGGCAUGCCUGUUUGAGUAUCAUGAACACCCCAACUCUCAUGGUUCUGCCAUGAUGAGCUUGGACUUUGGAGGUCUUGCUGGCCCCUGUGGUCAGCUCCUCUCAAAUGGAUCAGCUUGCCAGUGUUUGGUGGCAUCACAGGUGUGAUAACUAUCUACGCUUGUGGUUUUCCACCAGGUAACCUUCAGUGAUGGAGGUUCGCUGGAGCUCAUAAACGUCUCUCCUCAGCGAGGACAGCUUCUUGAACGUUUGAUCUCAAAUCAGGUAGGGCUACCCGCUGAACUUAAGCAUAUCAAUAAGCGGAGGA
rnacentral:misc_RNA from 1 species